GACGAACGCUGGCGGCGUGCUUAACACAUGCAAGUUGAACGAGAAUUCUUCGAGUUAUUUCUUCGGACUGUUCAUGAAAAAGGAAAGUAGCCAACGGGUGAGUAACCCUUGAGAAACCUGACUUUCACAAAGGGAUAGCCCCGGGAAACCGGGAUUAAUACCUUAUGAAACCACACACUCGCAUGAGAGAUUGGUUGAAGAUUUAUCGGUGUUAGAUGGUCUCGCGUCUGAUUAGCUAGUUGGCGGGAUAAAAGACUACCAAGGCAACGAUGAGUAGCCGGAUUGGGAGGAUGAACGGCCACACUGGAACUGGGACACGGUCCAGACUCCUACGGGAGGCAGCAGUGGGGAAUUAUGCACAAUGGGGGAGACUCUGAUGCAUCGACGCCGCGUGAGUGAUGAAGGGCGUCGGAUUGUAAAACUCUGUCCUUAGUGAAGAUAAUAACAGUAACUAAGAAGCAGGCCCUGGCUAAAUACGU
rnacentral:rRNA from 1 species